UGAGUACGAGCUGCUACGGCAGCGAAGUGGGUGAUGUCAAGCUUCCAAGAAAAGCCCUAUACCCGUUAAGGCAUGAUGGCCUGUACCCGAAACCGACACAGGUGGGGUGGUAGAGAAUACCGAGGGGCGCGAGGUAACUCUCUCUAAGGAACUCGGCAAAAUGGCCCCGUAACUUCGGGAGAAGGGGUGCCACCGCAAGGUGGUCGCAGUGAAGAGGCCCAGGCGACUGUUUACCAAAAACACAGGUCUCCGCUAAGUCGCAAGACGAUGUAUGGGGGCUGACGCCUGCCCAGUGCCGGAAGGUUAAGGAAGCUGGUCAGCGCAAGCGAAGCUGGCGACUGAAGCCCCGGUGAACGGCGGCCGUAACUAUAACGGUCCUAAGGUAGCGAAAUUCCUUGUCGGGUAAGUUCCGACCCGCACGAAAGGCGUAACGAUCUGGGCGCUGUCUCGGAGAGAGGCUCGGCGAAAUAGAAUUGUCUGUGAAGAUGCGGACUACGUGCACCCGGACAGAAAGACCCUAUGAAGCUUUACUGUAGCUUGGUAUUGUGCCCGGGCUCUGAAUGCGCAGGAUAGGUGGGAGGCUUUGAUCCAUUGCUUGUGGGUGAUGGUGAGCCACUGGUGAGAUACCACUCUUUCAGAGCUAGGGUUCUAACGGUCACCCGUUAUCCGGGGACCGGACAGUAUCAGGUGGGCAGUUUGACUGGGGCGGUCGCCUCCCAAAAGGUAACGGAGGCGCGCAAAGGUUCCCUCAGGCUGGUUGGAAAUCAGCCGACGAGUGUAAAGGCAGAAGGGAGCUUGACUGUGAGACCUACAAGUCGAACAGGGACGAAAGUCGGCCUUAGUGAUCCGACGGUUCUGAGUGGAAGGGCCGUCGCUCAACGGAUAAAAGUUACUCUAGGAUAACAGGCUGAUCUCCCCCAAGAGUUCACAUCGACGGGGAGGUUUGGCACCUCGAUGUCGGCUCAUCGCAACCUGGGGCUGAAGUCGGUCCCAAGGGUUGGGCUGUUCGCCCAUUAAAGCGGUACGCGAGCUGGGUUCAGAACGUCGUGAGACAGUUCGGUCCAUAUCCGGUGCACGCGCAGGAACAUUGAGAGGAUUUCUCCCUAGUACGAGAGGACCGGGAGGAACGCACCUCUGGUGUACCAGUUAUCGUGCCAACGGUAAACGCUGGGUAGCCAUGUGCGGAGUGGAUAACCGCUGAAAGCAUCUAAGUGGGAAGCCCACCUCAAGAUGUGUGUUCCCAUGGCAUAAGCCAGUAAGGUCACGGGAAGAACACCCGUUGAUAGGCUCUACGUGGAAGCGUGGCAACACGUGAAGCGGAGGAGUACUAAUAGACCGAGGGCUUGAC
rnacentral:rRNA from 1 species